GAUCACUUGAGGUCAGGAGCUUGAGACCAGCCUGGCCAACAUGGAGAAUCCCCAUUUCUACUAAAAAUACAAAAAUUAGGCCGGGUGCAGUGGCUCACGCCUGUAAUCCCAGCACUUUGGGAUGCCGAGGCAGGCAGAUCACAAGGUCAGGAGAUUGAGACCAUCAUAGCUAACAUGGUGAAACCCCGUCUGUACUAAAAAUACAAAAAAUUAGCCAGGUGUGGUGGUGGGUGCCUGUAAUCCCAGCUACUCGGGACGCUGAGGCAGGACAAUCGCUUGAACCUGGGAGGCAGAGGUUGCAGUGAACCAAGA
rnacentral:lncRNA from 1 species